rnacentral:rRNA from 1 species
ACCGUCGACAGUCAGGUAACGAGCGAGACCCCUGCGUCUAGUUGCUACCAUUACUCUCUGGAGCAGUGGAGCGAAUUAGACGGACCGCCACAGUUAAUGUGGAGGAAGGAAGGGGCCACAGCAGGUCAGUAUGCCCCGAAACCCUAGGGCUACACGCGGGCUGCAAUGGUAUUGACAAUGUGUUCCGAAUCCGAAAGGAGGAGGCAAUCAUCAAACAAUAUCUCAGUUAUGACUGAGGGCUGUAACUCGCCCUCACGAAUAUGGAAUCCCUAGUAACCGCGCGUCACUACCGCGCGGUGAAUACGUCCCUGCUCCUUGCACGAAUUCGCCG